rnacentral:tRNA from 1 species
CCCGCGAUAGCUCAGUCGGUAGAGCGGAGGACUGUAGUGGUUACUCAACUAUUAUCCUUAGGUCACUGGUUCGAUUCCGGUUCGCGGGA